rnacentral:lncRNA from 1 species
AGAAUUUGAUUGAAGGGAAGUAACAAAAUAUCCUGCUGAGGACGCACGACACUAUCCAUGGUCUAUGGGGUUCGCGGCGUGUUAUAGGUGAAACGAAGCAAUUGGUGAAUCGCAACUUCGUAUUGUAUCGUUCUUUGAAUUUGAAUUGAGGUUCUGAUGGAGCAUUAUUUGAAAUUCAAACUCCAGAAUGCAAUUCUGCAAACCCUAACUCGAUGGGGAAGACAAAUCCCGAGCUUCUUCUUACGUGUUAAAACUCAGAGUUUCGAUGAUAUUGUUUUACAAUUUUGGGACUAAUUUACAUUAUUAUUAUUUUUAUUUAUUUUCAUUAUUAAAAAAUGAUUUUU